CAUUUAUUUAGCGCCAACAUUUUCCUCAGUGUUUACUGAAACGAUUGUGAGGAUAUUACAGCAAACAAAAAAAUUAUCACACGUCCUUCAAGAAACCAAUCAGAAUAGGAGAUACAUAGUGGGCACAGCUAGUGGUCCUCCAUGAGCCUGGACACUAACAUAUCAACAGCAAAAAAAUACCAUGGCUUAGACCUAAAGCAAAAUUUGGC